rnacentral:lncRNA from 1 species
AAACAGAAACAGAAACAGGAGCUGAAAGCCGCAAAGACACUCGUGGAUUGUUUCUGCCCUCCAUGUUUCAACCGUCGCCAUUAACAAUUGCAGACAGCUACUUAUGCAUCGCACUUGGUCUGGUAAUCCCACAAAACAUGGUAUUUGGUAGCAUUUUACUGCCUUCUUCCUUCUACUCUUCCUACAAUUUCCAACCUUGAGCGAUGCUCCAGCCUUUAGUGGUGAGGAUGGAAUGAUCCAAAAAGAACUUGUAUCAAGACUUAUGUGCUAUAUUUUCCCCCAAAAAAAGAAGGAAAAAGAAACAGACUUAUAUAGUAGAUCGUAUAUGUAUGUAUGGAUUGCAUAAUUUGCAUUCAAAGACAUCUAAUUAUUGUUUGGGAGCUUACAUGCAAAGACAACUAAUCAUCAAUUGACAAACUUCUACUUUACAGAAGGUUGGUAAUAAAAGCAAAAGCAUACUACAUCCCC